GGAGGGGUGGCCGAGCGGCUGAAGGCGCACGCUUGGAAAGCGUGUAGGCGGGUAACUGUCUCGAGGGUUCGAAUCCCUCUCCCUCCGCCA
rnacentral:tRNA from 2 species